rnacentral:rRNA from 1 species
UUCUUGGAGAGUUUGAUCCUGGCUCAGGACGAACGCUGGCGGCGUGCCUAAUACAUGCAAGUCGAGCGGACUUGAUGGAGAGCUUGCUCUCCUGAUGGUUAGCGGCGGACGGGUGAGUAACACGUAGGCAACCUGCCUGCAAGACCGGGAUAACCCACGGAAACGUGAGCUAAUACCGGAUAUCUCAUUUCCUCUCCUGAGGGAAUGAUGAAAGACGGAGCAAUCUGUCACUUGCGGAUGGGCCUGCGGCGCAUUAGCUAGUUGGUGAGGUAACGGCUCACCAAGGCGACGAUGCGUAGCCGACCUGAGAGGGUGAACGGCCACACUGGGACUGAGACACGGCCCAGACUCCUACGGGAGGCAGCAGUA